UAUCCGCCGCGCGCGCAGGAGACUUGAGAAGGGCUGUCCCUAGUACGAGAGGACCGGGACGGACGAACCUCUGGUGUGCCAGUUGUUCUGCCAAGGGCAUGGCUGGUUGGCUACGUUCGGAAGGGAUAACCGCUGAAAGCAUCUAAGCGGGAAGCUCGCUUCAAGAUGAGGUCUCCCACAGGGUAGCCUGGUAAGGCCCCCGACUAGAUGAUCGGGUUGAUAGGCCGGAGGUGGAAGUGCGGUGACGCAUGGAGCUGACCGGUACUAAUAGGCCGAGGGCUUGACUAC
rfam:Frankia sp. ETN1f ctg00022, whole genome shotgun sequence.